AGGAUUAACGCUGGCGGCGUGCCUAAUGCAUGCAAGUCGAACGCGGGCGCCUUCGGGUGCUUGGCGUGGCGGACGGGUGAGGAACACGUGGGCAAGGUGCCCUGAGGUGGGGGGUAGCCCUCGGAAACGAGGGGUAAUUCCGCAUGAGCUGCUUGACUGGUGGGGUUGAGCAGGAAAGGGACGCAAGUCUCGCCUUGGGAGCCGCCUGCGGCCGAUUAGCUAGUUGGUGGGGUCAGGCUUACCAAGGCGGUGAUCGGUAGCUGGUCUGAGAGGACGGCCAGCCACACGGGGACUGAGACACGGCCCCGACUCCUACGGGAGGCAGCAGCAAGGAAUUUCCGCAAUGGGCGCAAGCCUGACGGAGCAACGCCGCGUGGGGGAGACGCUUUCGGAGUCGUAAACCCUUCGUUUCUGGGGACGACGACCGACGGUACCCGAGGAAGAAGGACCGGCUAACGUACGUGCCCAGCCAGGCCGC
rnacentral:rRNA from 1 species